GCCGGGCCUGGUGGGGCAUGCCUGUAGUCCCAGCUACUCAGGAGGCUGAGGUGGGAAGAUCGCUUGAGCCCAGGAGUUCUGGGCUGUAAUGCGCUAUACUGACCGGGUGUCCGCACUAAGUUCGGCAUCAAUAUGGUGACCUCCCAGGAGCGGGCGACCACCAGGCUGCCUAAGGAGGGGUGAACCGGCCCAGGUCAGAAACAGAGCAGGUCAAAACUCCUGUGCUGAUCAGUAGUGGGAUCGCGCCUGUGAAUAGCCACUGCACUCCAGCCUGGGCAAUAUAGCGAGACCCUGUCUCU
rnacentral:SRP_RNA from 1 species